UAGCUUUGAUCCGGAGGAUUCCGAAUGGGGGAACCCAGCGGGUGUAAUGCCCUGUUAUCGAUUUAUAUCGAGGCGAGACCCGCUGAASUGAUACAUCUCAGUAAGCGGAGGAAAGGAAAUCACAUAGAUUCCCUCAGUAGCGGCGAGCGAAAGGGGAAGAGCCCAGACCGSAUGAGCUUGCUCUUGCGGGGUUGUAGGACUUGGCCACAUGACGCUGAACACCUUUAUCCAAAGGACCUGGAAAGGUCUGCGACACAGGGUGAUGGCCCCGUAGGCGAAAAGGGUGUUGGCGUUGGCCUAGCUCCUGAGUAGGUCCGGACACGUGAAGCCCGGUCUGAAUCUGGGGAGACCACUCUCCAAGGCUAAAUACUCGUUGAUGACCGAUAGUGAACCUGUACCGUGAGGGAAAGGMAAAGAGAACCCCUUGUAGGGGAGUGAAAUAGAUCCUGAAAUCGACAGCUUACACACAGUCGAAGGUC
rnacentral:rRNA from 1 species